CAGCAGGUUUAGAGUGGUUCGGGCCGCCGGAGCGUAAUACCCUACGUCCACUGUGUGUUUAUAUGUGUUCUAGCGGGUGUGCUCUCCCUUUAAUAUGUCCAAGGGGAGCACGUACACUGAGCGGGGCCCCGACAUGUGGACCCGGCGAUGUAUUAUAAACUACACUUUGGCCUUCAAUGCCUUAGAUCCGGAGAUCUUGUCGUCGGCUUC